ACAAUGGAGAGUUUGAUCCUGGCUCAGGACGAACGCUGGCGGCGUGCUUAACACAUGCAAGUCAAGGAGAACGUAUUCUUCGGAAUACUAUUAAACUGGCGAACGGGUGAGUAACGCGUAGGCAACCUGCCCUAGAGACGGGGAUAACUUCGGGAAACCGGGGCUAAUACCGGAUAAUGCAGCGGAUCCUUCGGGAUACAGUUGUUAAAGCGGGCUUCGGCUCGCACUUUAGGAUGGGCCUGCGUCCGAUUAGCUUGUUGGUAAGGUAAUGGCUUACCAAGGCGAUGAUCGGUAGCUGGUCUGAGAGGAUGAUCAGCCACACUGGGAUUGAGAUACGGCCCAGACUCCUACGGGAGGCAGCAGUGGGGAAUUUUGCGCAAUGGGGGAAACCCUGACGCAGCAACGCCGCGUGACCGAUGAAGCUUCUAGGAGCGUAAAGGUCUGUCGUAAGGGAAGAAAAGUUUGGAUGUAAAUAAUGUUUGAACCUGACGGUACCUUACAAGAAAGCACCGGC
rnacentral:rRNA from 1 species